GGGGAAUAUUGCGCAAUGGGCGAAAGCCUGACGCAGCGACGCCGCGUGAGGGAUGAAGGUUUUCGGAUCGUAAACCUCUGUCAGAAGGGAAGAAGAAAAUGACGGUACCUGAUGAGCAAGUCCCGGCUAACUACGUGCCAGCAGCCGCGGUAAUACGUAGGGGACAAGCGUUGUCCGGAAUCACUGGGCGUAAAGGGCGCGCAGGCGGUGAUUUAAGCAGGAUGUGAAAGGCUACGGCUCAACCGUAGACAUGCACCCUGAACUGGGUCACUUGAGUAUUGGAGAGGCAGGCAGAAUUCCUGGUGUAGCGGUGAAAUGCGUAGAUAUCAGGAGGAAUACCGGAGGCGAAGGCGGCCUGCUGGACAAAUACUGACGCUGAGGCGCGAAAGCGUGGGGAGCAAACA
rnacentral:rRNA from 1 species